rnacentral:rRNA from 1 species
GAUGAACGCUGGCGGCGUGCCUAAUACAUGCAAGUCGAGCGAACAGACGAGGAGCUUGCUCCUUCGACGUUAGCGGCGGACGGGUGAGUAACACGUAGGUAACCUACUUAUAAGACUGGGAUAACUUCGGGAAACCGGAGCAAAUACCGGAUAAUAUUUCGAACCGCAUGGUUCGAUAGUGAAAGAUGGCUUUGCUAUCACUUAUAGAUGGACCUGCGCCGUAUUAGCUAGUUGGUAAGGUAACGGCUUACCAAGGCAACGAUACGUAGCCGACCUGAGAGGGUGAUCGGCCACACUGGAACUGAGACACGGUCCAGACUCCUACGGGAGGCAGCAGUAGGGAAUCUUCCGCAAUGGGCGAAAGCCUGACGGAGCAACGCCGCGUGAGUGAUGAAGGUCUUCGGAUCGUAAAACUCUGUUAUUAGGGAAGAACAAACGUGUAAGUAACUGUGCACGUCUUGACGGUACCUAAUCAGAAAGCCACGGCUAACUACGUG